rnacentral:rRNA from 1 species
UACGAAGGGGGCUAGCGUUGCUCGGAAUCACUGGGCGUAAAGGGUGCGUAGGCGGGUUUUUAAGUCAGAGGUGAAAUCCUGGAGCUCAACUCCAGAACUGCCUUUGAUACUGAGAAUCUUGAGUACGGGAGAGGUGAGUGGAACUGCGAGUGUAGAGGUGAAAUUCGUAGAUAUUCGCAAGAACACCAGUGGCGAAGGCGGCUCACUGGCCCGUUACUGACGCUGAGGCACGAAAGCGUGGGGAGCAAACGGG